GCGAAUGGAUUAAGAGCUUGCUCUUAUGAAGUUAGCGGCGGACGGGUGAGUAACACGUGGGUAACCUGCCCAUAAGACUGGGAUAACUCCGGGAAACCGGGGCUAAUACCGGAUAACAUUUUGAACUGCAUGGUUCGAAAUUGAAAGGCGGCUUCGGCUGUCACUUAUGNGAUGGACCCGCGUCGCAUUAGCUAGUUGGUGAGGUAACGGCUCACCAAGGCAACGAUGCGUAGCCGACCUGAGAGGGGGAUCGGCCACACUGGGACUGAGACACGGCCCAGACUCCUACGGGAGGCAGCAAUAGGGAAUCUUCCGCAAUGGACGAAAGUCUGUACGGAUGCAACGCCUCGUGAGUGAUGAAAGCUUUCGGGUCGUAAAACUCUGUUGUGAGAGAAGAACAAUUGCUAGUUGAAUAAGCUGGCACCUUGACNNUACCUCACCAUAAAGCCACGGCUAACUACAUGCCAGCAGCCGCGGUAAUACGUAGGUGGCAAGCGUUUUCCGGAAUUAUUGGGCGUAAAGCGCGCGCAGGUGGUUUCUUAAGUCUGAUGUGAAAGCCCACGGCUCAACCGUGGAGGGUCAUUGUAAACUGGGAGACUUGAGUGCAGAAGAGGAAAGUGGAAUUCCAUGUGUAGCGNUGAAAUGAGCACAGAUAUGGAGGAACACCNNUNUUGAAGGCGGCUUUCUGGUCUGUAACUAACACUGAGGANCGNAAAACAUGUGGAGCCACACAUGNAUUAUAUACCCUCNNUANUACAAGCNNNAAACUUAUGAGUGCUGAGUGUGAUAUGAGUUNNNNCCCUCUCCUCCCUCAGANAUAACAGAUUUC
rnacentral:rRNA from 1 species